rnacentral:rRNA from 1 species
CUCAGUAAGUCGUAACAAGGUAACCACUAGAGUUUGAUCAUGGCUCAUUAAGUCAUAACAAGGUAACCACGACACUUUGAGGGUAAUAGGCCAGGGCAACUUGGAUUAACGCCCCAUGGUACCGCGAUAUCGCAUGAUAUUGCGGUUAAAGAUUUAUCGGACAGGGAUGGCCAUGCGUACCAUUAGUUAGUUGGUGGGGUAACGGCCCACCAAGGCAGCGAUGGUUAGGGGCCCUGAGAGGGGGAUCCCCCACACUGGUACUGAGACACGGACCAGACUCCUACGGGAGGCAGCAGUGAGGAAUAUUGGACAAUGGGCGGGAGCCUGAUCCAGCCAUGCCGCGUGCAGGAUGACGGCCCUAUGGGUUGUAAACUGCUUUUAUACGGGAAGAAAUGCGCCCACGUGUGGGCGUCUGACGGUACCGUAAGAAUAAGGACCGGCUAACUCCGUGCCAGCAGCCGCGGUAAUACGGAGGGUCCGAGCGUUAUCCGGAAUCAUUGGGUUUAAAGGGUCCGUAGGCGGGCCUGUAAGUCAGGGGUGAAAGUUUGUGGCUCAACCAUAAAAUUGCCUUUGAUACUGCAGGUCUUGAGUCAUGGUGAGGUCGCCGGAACAUGUGGUGUAGCGGUGAAAUGCAUAGAUAUCACAUAGAACACCGAUCGCGAAGGCAGGUGGCCAACCAUGUACUGACGCUGAUGGACGAAAGCGUGGGUAGCGAACGGGAUUAGAUACCCCGGUAGUCCACGCCGUAAACGAUGGAUACUAGCUGUGGGGACUUCGGUCUCCGUGGCCAAGCGAAAGUGAUAAGUAUCCCACCUGGGGAGUACGUUCGCAAGAAUGAAACUCAAAGGAAUUGACGGGGGCCCGCACAAGCGGUGGAGCAUGUGGUUUAAUUCGAUGAUACGCGAGGAACCUUACCAGGGCUUAAAUGCAGGCUGCAUGGGGUAGAGAUACCCCUUUCUUCGGACCGCCUGCAAGGUGCUGCAUGGUUGUCGUCAGCUCGUGCCGUGAGGUGUCAGGUUAAGUCCUAUAACGAGCGCAACCCCUACCGUUAGUUGCCAGCAUGUCAAGAUGGGGACUCUAACGGGACUGCCGGUGCAAACCGUGAGGAAGGUGGGGACGACGUCAAAUCAUCACGGCCCUUACGUCCUGGGCUACACACGUGCUACAAUGGCCGGUACAGAGGGAAGCCACCCCGCAAGGGGGCGCGGAUCUACAA